rnacentral:rRNA from 1 species
CACGUAGGGGGCAAGCGUUGUCCGGAUUUAUUGGGCGUAAAGAGCUCGUAGGCGGCUUGUCGCGUCGACCGUGAAGACUUGGGGCUCAACCCCAAGCCUGCGGUCGAUACGGGCAGGCUCGAGUUCGGUAGGGGAGACUGGAAUUCCCGGUGUAGUGGUGAAAUGCGUAGAUAUCGGGAGGAACACCAGUGGCGAAGGCGACUACCUGGCCUGUUCUUGACGCUGAGGCGCGAAAGCUAGGGGAGCAAACGGG